UCGACCUAUAAAUAGUUCUUGCUCCUGCUGACAAAAACUGAUGCCACCUCGAAUUAUUAUUGGAUUAUAUGGAGGGGAUCGGAUUAAUCUGCGUGACAGUUAAGCGAAGUUAGAUUGGGGAUAAUUCUACUAGUAAUAGGAGAGCGGUUGCAUUAUCUCGACAUAAAGGAUAACAAAGGAAAUGAGUCGAAGGUGAUAUUCUGUCGAAGGAAAAACCAACGCAAUCAAGAUGGGGCGGGAUAACCAAUGGAAGAAUCAAACUCCCGAGCAAAGGCGGCCGACAAUCGCAUCUCCAUACUAGCCACGCCAAGGCACACAGGAAUGCAGUCCGGCUACUCAGCCCGCCUGCACCCGGAUGAUGCCGGCUUGAAGAACAAUCAUCUCUCACCGAACGCACUUUCAAUAAACGCACGACUUAACUCCCUGAAACGGAACUCGCACCUCAGCUUGAACAACAUCCAAAGAACUGCGGAACAGUAUGUCCAAUGCAAACCGAGCAGUUGUGCUGCGUAUAGUUGUCCGAAUCCUUUGCUCAGCGUCCCGGGCCAGGACGAGGAAUUUGAAGAGUUAGAACGAAAUCGGCUACUGCGGCGAGUUAGGCGAUGUGCCGCUUCACAGAUUGUUGUAGGAUUAGGCCUUGUCAUGAACGGGGUUCUAAACUUCUCUGUGGAGACGACAUUACAUUUUGUUUGCGCCGGGUUCUGGGGUGGGCCUCUGGCGUUCAUUUCAGGAUUAAUAGGCGCGCGGUGCUACAAGGAUCCCAACAAGUGGAACAAACGAUUGAAUGCAUUUUUCGCUUAUUUGAACGGGACAUUAAUUUACUGGUCAGUAUUCGGAUUAGCUGCUUAUGCGCUUUCACAAGACUUGCAGAACACGCUAUUUACUUUCAUACACCUUCUGGAUAUGGUACUGGUGUUUUGCGGCGAUAUAUCAGCGUUCUUUCAGACUUGCGUGGACCCACCAAAGGCAAGGCAUUUUUACGCUAAGGUUCCUGGAUUACGUAAAAUUUAGAGGAUCCUUUCCGCUUGCUAUGAGUAUGGCUGUCCUGUUAACUGUAGCACACGUACUUUAUUCUUUCACAUAGGAAUCACGUAGUUUUCCUCCACGUGGAGUUUUCUUACGUUUUGCCAGUGACCAGUUCUUUAUGUUCACUAUUCUUUCCCUGCUUGUGGACAGUCGUUUUCAAUCAUUUUGCAUUUUCGUUUUCCUUCCUAUUUACACCAAACGUUUUCUAAAGCGUCCAAAUGAGACCCAAAAUGUGGACGUUGGAUUGGAGUAUAGUCGCUAUUAUGACUUGGAGUCGGCAAGUGUCAUGCACAAUCUCUUACAUGUGUAUUGGAUCUAUAAAUUGGCGUUUCCCCAUAGCCUUUCGACGAGACGCCUGUUGAAAGCCCCGUAUCGGAGCCGCGACCGCAUCGGCCAUUCAGAGACCCCGUGAUCACGACGGACUGACUACGCAAAAGGUCCCACCACGGACACAAUGCUCAACCUAGACUGCUGAAGACCACUGCAUGGAUCUCCAUCAAAGCAUGGACGUUUCCUCCCAACAGACCCCACCCCACAUAUUUAUGCAUUCCCUCUAAUUCCUAAUCGAGCUUCCCAGAACUAUCUUCCAUCUCGAUCCCCGAGGUCACGACCCUGCAAACAUUUAUAAGCGAUGAGAGCGGCCAACAGGAACCCUCGGGCUGACUGCUGUCCGGCAAACUAGCAUCACCAUUCCGAUAGGCAGAAUAGGGACGAAGAAAUGAGACUCCCUGAGAGCAACAGAGCAAUAAAGCCGUUGACACGGGACCAACCCGACUCAUUCGGAUCGUCUAAAGGCGCACCAACUGACUGUGAUUUGUCAUGGUCCCUCGAGUGGACCAACCACCUCCGGAGCCAGAAACGGACUUAUGAGCGUCUGAGCCGAGUCUAAGUGGUUUGGGUGUCAGAGUUUGCACCACUGCGUUUAUGAAUUCUUGGGUGUAGACGCUUGGAAACGCUUAAAGGACCAUUCGGCAUUUACUUCUCAGUAACGGUAAAACGACAUUAAACAAAUCUUGAAGGGGUUGUUUAUCUGUAUUUGGCGGUAAACAGCAAUGAUUUACCCAUCCUUCCACGAAGGUGCAAUAUUGCAUAAUUUCUAACCUGCAUCGGAGGCUAAUGGUAUAUGUAAUAUUGAGAAUGUGAUAACCUUUUAUACGCUGUACCAGCAGUGUAUUACCGGUCAUACACUGCUGGCUGUACAUAUAUAUAUGAUUCUGUCAAUUUGUUUAGUUACUUGUACAAAGAUUUAACGACUCGCAUAGUGGAUGUAACUUAGUGUUAGAGAAACUUUCCUUCAAGUUGACAAAAAUGCUUCUACCAGAAGAACAUUUUCAGGAUCAUAUGUUCGCCUAUAUUUAAUCAGUUUGUUAUUGUAACUCCAGCUGUUAGUAAACCUAGCUUCUAUUAUAUGUUACAAUGGAAGCACUUCAUAUUGAGCCUAGCUUCUAUCAGAUAGCACCAUGGAAGCAUUUCACAUUGAACCAUGCUUAGAUAGCACCAUGGAAGAACUCCACAUUGAAUCAUGCUUCUAUUAGCUAUCUUCAUGGAAGCGCUUCACAUUGAACCAUGCUUAUGUCGACAUUAAAGCACUUCAUAGAGGAGCCAUGCUUCUAUCAGGUGUCACUAUGGAUUAAAGCACUUAACACUGAACCAUGCUUCUAUAAGAUAUCUUAAUGGAAGCGCUACACAUUGAACCAUGUUUCUAGUCGAUGUCACCAUAGAGACAUUUACACUGAACCAUGCUUCUCUAAGAUGUCGCCAUGGGAGCACUUCGCACUGAACCAUUUUAAUACCUGUAGGUAUAGAUCUACUGUAGGCCUACUUUCGUAAUGGCUAUCAAAAUUAGAUAUCGGUUAAUAAGGCUAUAGUUGUCUCUUAAAUGGGAACUAUAGCCAGGAGCUA